rnacentral:rRNA from 1 species
GAUGAACGCUAGCUACAGGCUUAACACAUGCAAGUCGAACGAAGCACUUUACUUGAUUUUCUUCGGAACUGAUUGUACUGUGACUGAGUGGCGGACGGGUGAGUAACGCGUGGAUAACCUGCCUCACACAGGGGGGAUAACAGUUGGAAACGGCUGCUAAUACCGCAUAAGCGCACAGCACCGCAUGGUGCAGUGUGAAAAACUCCGGUGGUGUGAGAUGGAUCCGCGUCUGAUUAGGCAGUUGGCGGGGUAACGCCCACAACCGACGAUCAGUAGCCGGCCUGAGA